rnacentral:rRNA from 1 species
UACGAAGGGGGCUAGCGUUGCUCGGAAUCACUGGGCGUAAGCGCACGUAGGCGGAUCUUUAAGUCAGGGGUGAAAUCCUGGAGCUCAACUCCAGAACUGCCUUUUGAUACUGGGGAUCUCGAGUCCGGAAGAGGUGAGUGGAACUCCGAGUGUAGAGGUGAAAUUCGUAGAUAUUCGCAAGAACACCAGUGGCGAAGGCGGCUCACUGGCCGGUACUGACGCUGAGGUGCGAAAGCGUGGGGAGCAAACAGG